GCUCAGUAACACGUGGAGAACGUGCCCUUAAGUGGAGGAUAAUCUCGGGAAAUUGAGGAUAAUACCCCAUAGAUCAUGAGAUCUGGAAUGACUCAUGGUUCAAAGUUCCGGCGCUUAAGGAUCGCUCUGCGGCCUAUCAGGUAGUAGUGGGUGUAAAGUACCCCCUAGCCUACGACGGGUAUGGGCCUUGAGAGAGGGAGCCCAGAGUUGGAUUCUGAGACACGAAUCCAGGCCCUACGGGGCGCAGCAGUCGCGAAAACUUCACACUGGGGGCAACCCCGAUGAGGGAAAUCCUAGUGCUAGGACAUUUGUUCUAGCUUUUCUCAAGCGUAGAUAACUUGAGGAAUAAGGGCUGGGUAAGACGGGUGCCAGCCGCCGCGGUAAUACCUGCAGCCCAAGUGGUGGUCGAUUUUAUUGAGUCUAAAACGUUCGUAGCCGGUUUGGUAAAUCUUUGGGUAAAUCGGGAGGCUCAACUUUCCGACUUCCGAAGAGACUGUCAAACUUGGGACCGGGAGAGGCUAGAGGUACUUCUGGGGUAGGGGUAAAAUCCUGUAAUCCUAGAAGGACCACCGGUGGCGAAGGCGUCUAGCUAGAACGGAUCCGACGGUGAGGGACGAAGCCCUGGGUCGCAAACGGGAUUAGAUACCCCGGUAGUCCAGGGUGUAAACGCUGCCGACUUGGUGUUGGAGGCCCUUCGGGGGCAUUCAGUGCCGGAGAGAAGUUGUUAAGUCGGCUACUUGGGGAGUACGUCCGCAAGGAUGAAACUUAAAGGAAUUGGCGGGGGAGCAC
rnacentral:rRNA from 1 species